rnacentral:lncRNA from 1 species
AUUAACUAAAUAUACUAAUAAUAUUAAGAUUUAAUAUGUUUAACCAUUUAGCCUAAACAACUAAAUAUAAUUUUAUACAUUUUACUUUUAAAUGAAUAAAAUAAAAACAACUAAAAAUAAAAUAAAAGAAUAUGGAUCUCAUAUAUUAACAUCAAAACGGAAAAAUUUAUUUUGUGAUAUUGAUAUUAAGUUUGAAGAUAAUAAUAUAAAAUUAUUGAAUUACAUUUUCUACAUAUUUAUUGUGAUUAUUGGUUUUACGUUUAAAUAUGAAAGAAAUAAUGAUAUAGUAUCAAAUGAUGAUUUGUUUAUGUUUUUAUAAAUCAUAUUUUUGUAAUUGAACUAGACCAAAACUAAAAAAUUAACUCGGUUGAACUGAAAAUACAAACAAAACCAAAUUAAACCGAACCGAACCAAACACAAACCAAACCGAACUAAAACUGAACCGAACACAUACUAAACCGAAGUAAAACCGAACCAAACCGAACAUGAACCAAACCAUACUAAUUUGGGUUGACUUUGGUUGGAGAUUUCUUAGACCCAAACC